ensembl:lncRNA
GGGCGAGCGGGAGGCGGCGGUGGCUCCUGUCGACCUCUGGCAAGACUGACCGCAGGGAGGCCGAAAAGCGGGCACGCGCGGCGGAGAGGCGGGCGGAAGGCCGGAGCUUAUUUAAUGAAAAGUGCCAUAGACUGAAAAACCAAACAUGAGGGUAGCAGGUGCUGCAAAGUUGGUGGUAGCUGUGGCAGUAUUUUUACUGACAUUCUAUGUUAUUUCUCAAGUAUUUGAAAUAAAAAUGGAUGCAAGUUUAGGAAAUCUAUUUGGUAAGUUUUAUUUCUUUUUCCCUUUCUUAAAUUUUAUUUGUGAUGAGAUUGUCUUUAAAUUUUUACCAGUUAUCAACAUUGAGUUACUCUGCUGUUUAGGCUGUCUAGAAAAGAAAAUGAAAUUAUAUUGGUAAGUGUGAUUCAUUGGAAUAUUCUAAAAUGUACAAUAGAAAAUCUUACAAUUAAUUCAAUAUAAAGCACGAAUCUUCUAUUCAACAUUUUGAAUAUAUUUAAUGGAGCCUAUUUUAUGCAUGCCUACGGACAUUAUUCAUGGCAUUCUAAAUGCACAUGCUAGAAGAUAUCACACCCUAUUUGAGUUGGCUGCUUAAAAACUUGGAACCAAAUCUAACCCUCAGUUAGCAAGUGAUUAGGAGUCAUGAUAAUGCAUUUUAAAUACCAGCCAUAGAAAUCCAUCUUGCUUUCCUACCCUUAUUUUCCUUCUGCACCAUUUUUCCUUUUAGCAAUUUAUUUGAUGCUAUGUUGUAAAUGUACCACUACGAGCUGCCUUAAUUCAGUUUUAAACAAAAUCUUUAAGUUGAUAAAAUAAGUUAACAUUUGAAGUGUUUGAAUAAGCUUUGGCUGAGCACUGUUUAAAGUAUUAAAAAAUAACUCAUGAAAGGUCAGGCUCUGAAACCUAGAAACAGUAUUUUGACCUAGUAGGCAGAAAUCAAAUGAAACAACCUUGAGAUCUCUGGAAUAGUUGGUGAGUUUUGCUUUCCGUAAAUUAAUACAAGACCGAAUACAUUCCCUCUCACAUCUAGUUUCAAGACUCCCUUAAACCAGUGUUUCUCAAACUUCGAUGUCAAGGGAAUCUCUAGGGAAUCUUGAUAAAUGCAGAUUCUGAUUCAGUGUCUGGGAUGGGGCCUGAGAGUCUGCAUUUCUAACAAGAUCCCAGGUGAUGCUGAUUUCCCAUCCAUGGACCAUAUACUAGGUAUCAGGCUUUAGACAGUUAUGGCAUGUAGUCCUCAAGUUUCUGUAUAUUUUCAUUUCUGUACAUGUUCAGGUGACUUUUCUUACAAUGACUACUUAAAAGUACUUCCUUGUUUUGCACUGAAUUCUGCCUUUUAUUCUCCCAAGUAAUUUCAAUCCACUGAUCUUGCUUCUACCUGCUGGAGCUCUCUUCCACAUUAAUGAUCUGUUAAAUAGUUAAGUUGUGGUUAUUCUCCUCCAUGCCAUCUUUUUAUAAGUGUUCAUCUUAUCAAGCUAUAAAAUCCUCCCUUUGAACCAUUCUUCCUAAUGCACUGUUUAUUUUCCUCCUGUCAGUUUUCGGCACCCAUCUUAAAAUGAAGUAUCCAGGAUCGGGCGUAGAAUAGUUGUUGCAAAGUGUAGUGAGAAUUGUCUUGACUUCUCCUGGGCUAUGUGCGUCUGUUACUGCAAAGGGCCAGCCUGGGGUCCUUUGAGAGCACAGCUGGUUUCAGUUGAAGGAUGGGGCACAAAAACAUGGAAGGCAUUGAGGACUUGUUCAGUGUUGCUGUGGAAACAGUGUGCUGUAGCUAAUUCUUCUAAGUAAGGUUGAUGGUAAGGGAGACAACUGUGGGGAUGGUAGCUUGAGGCAGAAGUAAGUUGAACAUUUUUUUCUUUUUUGAAGUAAUAGAGAGGUUUUCACUUCUCUAUAGGCCGCGGGCAAAGAGUCAGUGAAUUACAAAUCAAUGGGAAGAGAUUAAACAGAGAGAAAAGGAUGAUCCUGGAGAGAAGGGGG